AACAAUCCACAACAAUAUCACUGGCAAGCAAUCAAUAUGGGGUUGCUCAAGGCUAGUGUUUGUGCAAUCUCAUUCAUUAUUGUUAUAAUCGCAUUGGCUACUGACGAUGUGGGUGCAGUCACCAGCAUCACUACAUAUGCUUUACCACGUUGUGAUGGAGCAGUUGAUACAUAUUCCAGUUGUGGUCAGUGCCAGAGUUUAGCUGUAGCAAUUGGAGGUUACAAGAUUGACUAUGAUGGAAAUCCCAUUCGAAUUUAUACAGCACCAGCUUGUACAGGGCAAGGUGCAUUGAUAACUCAAGACCAGGAAGCAUGUGGUGUGGGCACCCUUCCCAUUUUGAGCUUCUAUAUACGCUGCUGACAAUGGAUGUGUGUGCUGAUGUUUAUUAAGUAAAUAAGAGGCAAAACUUCAACCAAUUUGAGUUACUUCAUCAUCGAUGUAAUGCAUGUGUGAUGCACAAGCUGCUUGUUCAGAAUUGGAUGAAAGAAUGGGACUUGGAAAUGGCAACUUAAUCACUCAGCCCCUGGUCCUGCACCGAAAUCCUGGUAAUGAUAUCACUUCUUGCUAAGAGAAAUGGAAAAAGCUAAAAGAAAAGGAAGAUCUAAACAAAGCAAAAGUUAGAUCUAAACCAAAAUCCUAAAAGGAAUGAAUAGAAGAAAGGAAAUGGGAAAAACUAAAUCUAAUUAAGAUUGUCUUUGAGAAAGAUCAAAAUCAAAGCUUGCUUCCCUCUGUAGUUUCCAUCGCAC
rnacentral:lncRNA from 1 species